ACAGAGCCCAUCCCAGCCCCACAAUUUAGAACUCUGACCGGCAGGAGCUGGGAGCCAUGAUCAGUUAAGUUCGACCCCUACACUGGGAAGAAACAGGCCUUGGCUUCUUCAAAGGCCCACGGCAAGACACAGAUCCUGUGGCCUGGGCCUGGGCCUGGGUGUCAGAGCCCCAGGCAUGUGGGGGUCACUAGCUUCAGAGCCUGCUUUUGUCCUACCCGUCCCUGAUCCAGAGGGCUGGAGGAUGCAGCACGGGCAGAGAGCCCGUCGGUGCGGGGUGGGGCGUCUCCCUGGGCGGGCGGGUGGGGGAGGGUCAGUCUCGACUCUGGAGAGAAGCAAGUCUGUUCCUCCUGUUGGCCUGAGGCCAGGCCUGGAUGCCCUGACCCCAAACUCCUUUAUGUCAGGCACUGAGGAAGCCACCCAGGAGUUAAGCCACUGCAAUGUGCACAGACGCCAAAGAGCUUUCCAACCACGGGGAGAGAGCCGUGGCUUCCGGAAGAGGCAAGGCGGAGCGGCAACAGUGUGCCAUGAGGAUCGCCGUGUCCCAACCCCAGUUCAACCAGAAAUCACUGUGUGACCUUGGCAAAGUCACUUGCCUUUUAGCGUCCCAGCCUGCAAAAAUAAGGACCCCGAAGUUCUUCAGUUUCCCUGGUCCUUUCCACAGGCAGCCCCACCCCCACCCCAGCCUUCAACCUCCCCCUGCAGAGGCUGGAGCUCAGAAGCACCUCACAGCAGAAAGGGCUCUUGUCUGCCAGGUGAAAUCUGUCUGUCGUUGUCUCUGAAUCACAGGGGCAGAUCUCCACCAAGCAGAGAGGAGAGAGAGAGAAGGAGGGCAGGCAGAACGGGUGGACACGAGGCUUCUGGUCACCCUCUAACCUAAAAGUAGUGGGGUCCUGGGACCCCAGUUGUCCAGGGUGAAGAGAGGGGAAGCUCUGGACAGCCAGAGAAAGGGCUGGGGAGCAGGUGUGUGGUCCUUCCCCGCUCCACUUGGGGCAGUGGGAUGCUGGGCUCAGCCCACUAAGCCCAGAGCAAACAGGUAGGGCUGUGGCUCAGGAGACAGGAUCUACUCACUAUGCCAAAUCAGAUCAUUGCUCUGAAAACCCCACCCAGAAGGGAAACCUUUCCCCAAAAGCAUGGGUUCCCACUGGAAACCCAGCUUCUCCCAGCAGCGGGGGCAGCACUUGCACAGCAAGUGCCCCCAUCUGCACUGCUCUUGUCUUCUCCCCACUCCAACCAAGUCCGUGGAAAGGCAACAGCGUGGUGAUAAGAGAACUCUCACAUUCUACGCCCUGCCACCUCUGUGAU